rnacentral:rRNA from 1 species
CGCCCUUCAGGCCUAACACAUGCAAGUCGAGCGCGAAUGGAGCAAUCCUAGUAGAGCGGCGCACGGGUGCGUAACACGUGGAUAAUCUGCCUGGGUGUCUGGGAUAACCAGUCGAAAGACUGGCUAAUACCGGAUAAGCCCCCGGGAGCUUCGGCUCCUGAGGGAAAAGGUGGCCUCUGUAUACAAGCUAUCACAUCCAGAUGAGUCCGCGGCCCAUCAGCUAGUUGGCGGGGUAAUGGCCCACCAAGGCAACGACGGGUAGCUGGUCUGAGAGGACGAUCAGCCACACUGGAACUGAGACACGGUCCAGACUCCUACGGGAGGCAGCAGUGGGGAAUUUUGCGCAAUGGGCGAAAGCCUGACGCAGCAACGCCGCGUGUGUGAUGAAGGUCUUCGGAUUGUAAAGCACUUUCGACCGGGACGAAAACCCGUUGGCUAACAUCCAACGGCUUGACGGUACCGGGAGAAGAAGCACCGGCUAACUCUGUGCCAGCAGCCGCGGUAAUACAGAGGGUGCAAGCGUUGUUCGGAAUUAUUGGGCGUAAAGCGCGUGUAGGCGGCUUUGCAAGUCGGGUGUGAAAGCCCUCAGCUCAACUGAGGAAGUGCGCCCGAAACUGCAGAGCUUGAGUGCCGGAGAGGGUGGCGGAAUUCCCCAAGUAGAGGUGAAAUUCGUAGAUAUGGGGAGGAACACCGGUGGCGAAGGCGGCCACCUGGACGGUAACUGA